UACAGAGGGUGCGAGCGUCGUCCGGAAUCACUGGGCGUAAAGGGCGCGUAGGUGGCGCGACAAGUCAAUGGUGAAAGCUCGGCGCUCAACGCCGAGUCGGCCACUGAUACUGUCGGGCUUGAGCACUGUAGAGGCUAAUGGAAUUCCGGGUGUAGCGGUGGAAUGCGUAGAGAUCCGGAAGAACACCGGUGGCGAAGGCGGUUAGCUGGGCAGUAGCUGACACUGAGGCGCGACAGCGUGGGGAGCAAACAGG
rnacentral:rRNA from 1 species